UUCUAACGUGGACCCGUAAUCCGGGUUGCGGACAGUGUCUGGUGGGUAGUUUGACUGGGGCGGUCUCCUCCUAAAGAGUAACGGAGGAGCACGAAGGUUGGCUAAUCCUGGUCGGACAUCAGGAGGUUAGUGCAAUGGCAUAAGCCAGCUUGACUGCGAGCGUGACGGCGCGAGCAGGUGCGAAAGCAGGUCAUAGUGAUCCGGUGGUUCUGAAUGGAAGGGCCAUCGCUCAACGGAUAAAAGGUACUCCGGGGAUAACAGGCUGAUACCGCCCAAGAGUUCAUAUCGACGGCGGUGUUUGGCACCUCGAUGUCGGCUCAUCACAUCCUGGGGCUGAAGUAGGUCCCAAGGGUAUGGCUGUUCGCCAUUUAAAGUGGUACGCGAGCUGGGUUUAGAACGUCGUGAGACAGUUCGGUCCCUAUCUGCCGUGGGCGCUGGAGAACUGAGGGGGGCUGCUCCUAGUACGAGAGGACCGGAGUGGACGCAUCACUGGUGUUCGGGUUGUCAUGCCAAUGGCACUGCCCGGUAGCUAAAUGCGGAAGAGAUAAGUGCUGAAAGCAUCUAAGCACGAAACUUGCCCCGAGAUGAGUUCUCCCUGAGACUUAGAGUCUCCUGAAGGAACGUUGAAGACGACGACGUUGAUAGGCCGGGUGUGU
rnacentral:rRNA from 1 species